UACUCUUUCUAGAAACACUUUCCAGUACCUCUACUUUGUUACGACUUAUUUCAAUUUAUUAAUGAAAGCGACGGGCAAUAUGUACAUAUUUUAAAUUAAAAUCAUUUUAAUAAAUUAAAUAAAAUUACAUUUAAAUCCAAUUUCAAUUAAUUUUUAAAAAUAACAUCCAAUUAAAUAAAUUUAUUGUAAUCCAUUAUAUUCUUAAUUAUAAUCUGCAUCUUGAUCUGAUUUAACUUUUAAUAUAAAAAUUAAAAUAUUAUUAUUAUUUUAAAAUAUUUUUUUAACAACGAUAUACAAAAUUAAAUAAAUUAAGUAAAUUUAUUCGUGGAAUAUCAAUUAAUAAACAGAUUCCUCUAAAUAAACUAAAAUACCGCCAAAUUAUUUAAGUUUUUAUAAAUAAUUAUAUACUAUUUUAGUAUUAUUAAUUUAAAUUUUUAAUAAUAGGGUAUCUAAUCCUAGUUUUUAAUAAAAUUUUUUAAUUCAUAAUUCAAUAUAAAAUUUUCAUAAAUUAAAAUUUCACUUAAUAAUUUAAAUUUUAAUUUUAUUAUAUAAUCUAUUAUUAAUUAAUCCCUAAAAAAAUUUAAUUUAAUUUUUGUAUAACCGCAACUGCUGGCACAAAAUUUGUUAUUAAUUUAAAUAUUACUAAAUCUUAAUUACUUAAAUUUUUAAUUUUAAUUACUACAAAUAAAUAUUAAUUAUUAUUUAAAUAAAUUAAAAAUUAACACUAAAAUUUAUAUGUAAAAUAAAUUUAUAAUAAAUUUUUAAACCAUAAAUAAUUUUAUU
rnacentral:rRNA from 1 species